CCUACGGGUGGCAGCAGUGGGGAAUAUUGGACAAUGGGGGAAACCCUGAUCCAGCGACGCCGCGUGAGUGAAGAAGUAUUUCGGUACGUAAAGCUCUAUCAGCAGGAAAGAAAAUGACGGUACCUGACUAAGAAGUCCCGGCUAACUACGUGCCAGCAGCCGCGGUAAUACGUAGGGGGCAAGCGUUAACCGGAUUUACUGGUUGUAAAGGGAGCGUAGACGGCAGCGCAAGUCUGGAGUGAAAUGCCGGGGCCCAACCCCGGAACUGCUUUGGAAACUGUGAAGCUGGAGGGCAGGAGAGGAAAGCGGAAUGCCGGGUGGAGGGGUGAAAUGCGGAGAUAGCAGGAGGAACACCGGGGGCGAAGGCGGCUUACUGGACUGUAACUGACGUUGAGGCUCGAAGGCGGGGGGAGCAAACAGGAUUAGAUACCCUUGUAGUC
rnacentral:rRNA from 1 species